rnacentral:lncRNA from 1 species
UUUGUCUCAGCAGACUAACAACUUUGGAUCAAUGUCAGCUGUCACUUGAUUAAUUAUGUACAUAAGGCAGCUGAUCACAGAAAAUUUCCACCUUUUCCCCUUAGUAUUUGUAUUUGUUCUUCACACUUAGUCAUAGUCAUUCAACAGCUGCAUAUGAUGCAACAGCAGAACAAGCAUUAGCAGGAUGCUAUAGGCUGGGUAAAAUAAAUAGAAUAUGUUUAGUGCAAUAUGUAGAAAAAAGAUAGUGAAGACAUCAAUAUUUUUGAAGUUAAAAAAUUUAUCACUUUGUUAACUUGGGAGAGAUGAUAUCUUGUCCUUAAAAGAUACAAGUUGCCAGUACAUACGGACUGGGGAGUCUUUCCAGAUGAACUGAUAAUGCCUCCACAAGGAAGUCUGCAUCAAGGACUUCUGUCAACACCCCUCUCAUGGUGAAUGCUAUCCUGUCCAAGAGUUUUCUGGUUCAGCUGUACCCUACUCCAAGGAUCCCAAUGCAUUGCUGCAGUUGUUCAUUAUCCCUUGUGUGGCCACCCUGGAGAUGUAUAAAAACAAAUGUUGAGAUUUGUUAUAUAGAGGUGUUUAUAAAACCUUACUUUAAGAAAGUCCAUUUGAUAAUGUCUAUGCUCACAUGACUACAUGUAGUGUUGCUUUUAACUAAUUAAUUUGCUUGCUGCAUGAUGCCAAAUCUCUUCCAAGGA